AUCCAGCUGACGAGUCCCAAAUAGGACGAAACGUGCCUAUUGGAU
rnacentral:hammerhead_ribozyme from 1 species